rnacentral:lncRNA from 1 species
AGGGUCUCUUGCAUAUCCAUGUGCAUCUUAGAAUCAGCUUCUCAAUUUCUCUAAGGAAAAAAAGUCUUCAGAUCCAUGAAUGUGAGACAUCUUUCCAUUCAUUUAGGUCUUCUAAAUGUUCAUGUUAUGCUGCUUCAUAUUUUUUGUCUAAUUUUCACAAUGGUUCAUUCUAUUUGGCAGGGGCUUCCCAGGUGGCUCUGUGGUAAAGAAUCCUCCUGCUAGUGCAGAAGAGGCAAGUUCAAUCCCUGGGUCAGGAAGAACCCCUGGAGUAGGACAUGGCAACCCACUCUACUAUUUUGCCUGGAAACUUCCAUGGACAGAGAAGCCUGGCAGGUCGCAGUCCAUGGGUUCACAAAGAGUUGGACACAACUGAGCAUACACAUAAUAAAAGAGAGAGACAGCUACACAAACCUACUGAGGCUGAAGCCAGUCAACCAAGCAUAGUCUGUGAUGUUCCAUUUGUACUAAAUGAGGUCAUCUCUGAACCCCAUAAGUCAUCGAGAAAAGACCAUGGCUGCUAGCUUGGACCAAUCAAAAUCUGUACCUGGAUUAGAUGGACUGUGUGUUUUCAGCCACUUUCUGCUAGCUUGGAGCAAAUGCGUGGACAUUCUCCUUUGGAGACAGGCUAUGGAUGGAGUCAAAGAACUUAAGAUGAAGGUAUAUCUUCUAAAUAUUGUAUUUUAAUGACUAUUUAACUUUUCCAGUGAAUCAUUUUUCUGUUGGGUCUUUGUUGCUGCAAAUGAUUUAUCAUUGGGUCUUUGUUGCUGAAAAUGAUCUUUCUCUAGUUGUGGUGAGCAGCUCAGACUUCUCAUUGUGGUGGCUUCUCUCAUUGUGGUGCACAGGCUCAGUGGAUGUGACCUGUGGGCUUAGUUGCCACAACAGGUAGGAUCUUCCCAAACCAGGGGUUGAGUUCAUGUCCCUUGCAUUGACAGGUGGAUUCUUAACCACUGGACCACCAGGGAAGNNNNNNNNNNAAUUUCAUCUUAACCUCAGUGCAGAAAAAAAAGAAUGGCAAGGAAGUUCUUUGAUUGAAGCAUUAUGGGUGUGCCUAGAUCUCUCUGCCUGCCUCUGACCCCUAGAGAUACAUCUUGAGAUACUUAGACAUAGUUUGAAAUAUUAGAGUUUCUAUAUGACCUGGUUUCAUCCUUUGAUUUUAGCAAUGGGAAAGUCCAUUCAUUCAUUUAUUCCACAAAUAUUUAUUGAGUAGCCACAGCAUCAAGCACAAUGUUUAGAAUUGAGAAGNNNNNNNNNNNNNNNNNNNNNNNNNNNNNNNNNNNNNNNNNNNNNNNNNNNNNNNNNNNNNNNNNNNNNNNNNNNNNNNNNNNNNNNNNNNNNNNNNNNCAUCAAGCACAAUGUUUAGAAUUGAGAAGACAAUAGUAAACAAAAUAUAGGAUGAAAUGCACAGACUACUGACUUUUAGUCUGCAUCCUUCUCUAGUAUACUGUGCCCCCUUUAGUACCCAUACAUGUGUCAGGCUGCCCUUAUUCCUCGGUGUUUGCCCUUUUCUUCUCCCGUUCAAGUGGGCAGUAACCUCAUAUUCUCUGCCUUCCUGUUAAGUCCCCCAAAUAAAGUAUAUGUGCCAUACACCUUCUAAGCAUACUUAAUUCCUCCAUAAUAUGAUUGAAAGUAGGUAGGAGCUUCUAGCAGAGCACCAGGAGAGUCAUGUGUAUAUAAGCCAUGGUCAUGUUCCUUAUGUAAUUGUAGUGGUGAGCCUUUCUUUUCUGAGACCCAUAUUGAUGAAAUUUCUGCUGUUCUAGCCUGUUCUUAUUCUAGAUGUUUUCUUCUUUGAAAGAAAAAUUGCCUAGCCCACAAACUGUAGUUCUUGUCUCAUUUAUCUAGUUUGGAGAGGUAAUAGAACUUGUCAGAUUUAGGGAAAAAUACAGAAUAUCCAGUUAAAUGUUUAUUUUAAUUGACAAGUAAUUGAUGUAUAGCAUUAUAUUAGGUUUAGGUGGACAGCAUAAUGAUUCAAUAUUUGUAUACAUUGCAAAAUGAUCACCACAAUAAGACUAAUUAAUAUUUAUCACUGUAUAUAGUUACAAAUGUUUUUCUUGUGGUGAGAACUUGUAAGAUCUAUUCUCUUAGCCACUUUCAAAUGUGCAAUACAGUAUUAUUAAUUACCAUGCUUUAUGUUACAUCCCUGUAAUGUAUUCUAUGACUGGUUAAAAUUUAAAUUUGAAAUACAGAUAAACAAAAAAUACAUUUUAAUGUAUGCAGAUGCCAAAAAUUGCAUGGCACAUGAUUGUACUAAAAAGAAAAAUUUAAA